CUACGGGCCGGCUCCAGUAGGGAAUCUUAGACAAUGGGGGAAACCCUGAUCUAGCCAUGCCGCGUGAGUGAUGAAGGCCUUAGGGUUGUAAAGCUCUUUCGCUGGGGAAGAUAAUGACGGUACCCAGUAAAGAAACCCCGGCUAACUCCGUGCCAGCAGCCGCGGUAAUACGGAGGGGGUUAGCGUUGUUCGGAAUUACUGGGCGUAAAGCGCGCGUAGGCGGGCUAUUAAGUCAGGGGUGAAAUCCCGGGGCUCAACCCCGGAACUGCCUUUGAUACUGGUAGUCUUGAGUUCGAGAGAGGUGAGUGGAAUUCCGAGUGUAGAGGUGAAAUUCGUAGAUAUUCGGAGGAACAUCAGUGGCGAAGGCGACUCACUGGCUCGAUACUGACGCUGAGGUGCGAAAGUGUGGGGAGCAAACAGGAUUAGAUACCCUCGUAGUC
rnacentral:rRNA from 1 species